rnacentral:misc_RNA from 1 species
GGGGAAAUAAGCGGAGGAUUCUGGGCCGCCACCCCCCGUGUUUAUUGUAGCUUGUUGCUUCGGUGCGCGCGCCUCCCAUUCAUGGCCGGGGGGGGGCCUCAGCCCCGGGCCCCCGCCCGCCGGAAACACAACGAACUCUGUCUAAUCUAGUGAAGUCUGAGUUGAUUGUAUCCCAAUCAGUUAAAACUUUCAACCA